GACAGAGGAGGCAAGCGUUGUCCGGAUUAACUGGGCGUAAAGCGUCCGCAGGUGGCACGGUCAGUGGGGUGUGAAAGCCGGUGGCUUAACCGCCGGAGGCCAUCCCAAACUGCCGCGCUGGAGUCGGGCAGAGGGUGCCGGAAUUGCCGGUGUAGUGGUGAAAUGCGUAGAGAUCGGGAGGAACACCAGAGGCGAAGGCGGCGACCUGGACAAGCACUGACACUCAACUACGAAAGCGUGGGGAGCAAACAGG
rnacentral:rRNA from 1 species